rnacentral:misc_RNA from 1 species
GACAGAGGGUGCAAACGUUGUUCGGAAUUACUGGGCGUAAAGCGCGUGUAGGCGGCGGCGUGUGUCGGGCGUGAAAUCCCAUGGCUCAACCAUGGAAGUGCACCCGAAACUGCGCAGCUAGAGUCCUGGAGAGGAAGGUGGAAUACUUGGUGUAGAGGUGAAAUUCGUAGAUAUCAAGUGGAACACCGGUGGCGAAGGCGGCCUUCUGGACAGUGACUGACGCUGAGACGCGAAAGCAUGGGGAGCGAACAGG